UUUCCGUAGGUGAACCUGCGGAAGGAUCAUUAUUGUAUAACCGAGGUGCGAGGGCUGUCGCUGACCCGAAAGGUCGUGCACGCCCGAGUGCCCUCACACGCAUCCAUCUCACCCCUAUGUGCACCACCGCGCGGGUCCCCCUUUGGCUUGUUCGGAGGGGGGCUUACGUUUUCACACAAACUUUGUAUGCAGUGUAGAAUGUAUUUUUUGUUUUUGCGAUCACGCAAUCAAUACAACUUUCAACAACGGAUCUCUUGGCUCUC
rnacentral:misc_RNA from 1 species